rnacentral:snRNA from 1 species
AAAUGGGGGUGACUGGUUGUAACAUCUGUCACCCCAUUUAUUGCUGGAAUUGAUUUGGGAGAUCUGGCUGGCUGGGUGGUGUCCUCUUCCUCUGGUCUCUUCUCUCCUCCUGAAGUUGUCUGCUUUGUGGAAGAGGACUGAUCUCCUGUGCUCCCUGCUAGAACCUCUAAGCAAGCUCUCAGGAUGCUGAGGGAGGGAGCGGGCAGGGACACCGGAGCAGUGCAUAGGGAAGCACUCAGCCUCAGU